rnacentral:sRNA from 1 species
CUUUUUUGGAGGGGGCUGGCUUAUUCACUUAAUGUCCUUAGCUUCCCCUCAUGUUUUAUCAAGUGUUAGAAUUUCCUUCAUCAGGGCUUUUUAGUAUUCCGUUGUGUGUAUAUAUACAUUUUUCAUUCAUUUGUUGAUGGACAGUUGGGUUGCUUCUACCUUUUGACUUUUGUGAAUAAUGUUGCUUUUAACAUGGGUGUGCAGCUACCAUUUUUUGACAUUGACUUUUUAUUUUUAGAUGGGCACUCUGGUUUUUUAAAAAUGAUAAAAGCAAAACUUGGCAAGCAAACCUGCGGCUGAUCUCCAAGUUUGAUACUGUUGAAGACUUUUGGGCUCUGUACAACCAUAUCCAGUUGUCUAGUAAUUUAAUGCCUGGCUGUGACUACUCACUUUUUAAGGAUGGUAUUGAGCCUAUGUGGGAAGAUGAG